AUUCAGACAUUGAAACAUCCUCCUGUGUUUUCUGAGAAGAAGCAUGCUUUCUAAGGUACUUUAUGGAUUUAAAAUCAUUAACAUGCAUGUCUAAUUUAUUGUAUAUAUUCCUUACUGUAAAGAUCAGCAAUCACCAAUGCUGGACUGGGGAUAUAUAUUAUAGAGCUGGUAAAAGAAAUAUAUAAAUAUAUUUAUUUUAGCAGCUCUAUAAUGUAUUGCAUGAUAAAUUGAAAAGGUGGGGAAAAAAAGUUAAAAGAAAAUGAUUUUUUUUUAAUGUGAAGGUGUGCACUCAUAUGAACAAAUUAAUUGUAUUUUCCCCCCACCAACAUAUCUGUGCACUAUAUUUGCAAAAUGCAUUAUAAAACUAGUUUAUUCAAUGAGAAGGAAUACAAAUGUUUAUAUUAUAGAGAUAGAGUUUGGAAAUAAGACAAGAAAGAAUGAGACAGACAGGGUUGUUCACAAAUAAAAUAUACAAUAUUUGCUUCCCAAUUACAAAAUGCACACAUACCAGAUUUUAACAUGAAAGUACAAGCAUAAGUCAAAUGUACCCAUGUUAUCCUUUGCACAAUGGCAUACACCAAACAAAACUAGACAAAAAUCCCACCGUUAUACACGAGAGAGAGAGUGUGUGUGUGUGUGUGUGUGUGUGUGAGUGUGUGUGUGUACACAUACUCUAUGCCUAACAAACUGAACGUGUUUUGUAUCUACACCAAAUGCUGUAGUCUUCAUGCAUGGGUGGCUCAACACAAAGAAUGUGCAUUUUUGGAGAUUAUCCGUUCUAGUGUAGAGAGAUAAAUACCAGCCGUCUUAGCCAUUGUUUUCUGUAGCAUAUUCAGUUUCCAAAGCUUGAUAAUGGAAUUGUAGAAAAGUUACAGAUGGUGUAAAACUCAGUUCUGUCCAAGCUACCCCAGUGUCUGUGUGUUUGGUUGGACAGGAAAAGGAAAGGAUCACUUCCCACCUGCCCACUAACAGCCUUUCGCAUGGCAUAUGCCUUGAAUUAUUGUCCUAGAUGAAAGUAUUUGAAACAAAACCCUUUACCUUAAUCCUAAAUUUAAAGGGACACUCUAAGCACCACAAACUUUACAACUUAGUUCUUGUCAUUCGAACAGCCACUAGAAGGACUUCCUGGUGCGGGUUCCUGCAAUCUGUGCAGGACUGACGUUCAGUAUUUCCUUGCUCUGUAGGGAGACACUGAAUGUAUUCCAUAGAAAUGUCAAUGUAUCUUUAUGAGGAAUGCUGACUGAUGCACAGCCGUGCAUUAACAGGUAAAUUAGAUCUAUGUAUUUAAUUUUAAUAAUCUAAAUAAUGGAGGAAACUAUCUAAUGUAAGGAAUACAUGUUUGUAUUCCUAAUGGUAAAAUGUUCCUUCAACUCCUCUUAAAAACAAAAUACCCAAUGUACCACAAUUAACCCAACUCUAACACUAAUCCCAAGAAUCAUAAACACCCCAUAUAUCACAAAUAUAACUCAUCUUAAAAUUGUAAUCAUUUUAACCCUAAACCUAUGUAAUCUAACACUGACAUUAACCCCUCUAAAACCUUAUACCCACCCAGUCACCCUAAGCACUUCUAAAAUUAUGUUUACAGAGCUGCAUACAAUGAUUAUACUCACACGUUGAAAUGUAAUAUGCUCAUACCUUUAUUCAUUGAGUUGUCAAAUAUGAUUAUAUGCCUUUUAUUUUUAUUUUUUUAAAUAAAUGCAUUAACCUCACGUUAUCAGCCUUUUAUUUUUUGGGGGGUGGGGAGGUACAUAUGGUACCUUGAAAUUCUUUGCCUACAGGCACCUGAAAAUUGUUGUUAUUCUGUAUGUUUCCUUACUGACUUACAUGUGAAGAUGUGCUAAAGAUAUAUUGCCUGCUAUUAAUGUACAUUACUAAAGGUAGCAUUUUCCUUUAAUAUAUUUUCAGACUGUAACUGGCAGUUUUGCUUCAGUGAUCCAUGGUUUGACCAGCAGCAAUCUUACAGAUGCUGUGAUCCAGAGAAGCAAGCGUAUGAUCCUUGACACAAUAGGAGUUGGAUUAAUCGGCACCACAACUGAUGUUUUUCAUAAAGUCUUACAAUACAGCAAA
rnacentral:lncRNA from 1 species